rnacentral:rRNA from 1 species
GGAUAACCUGCCCUUAGGACUGGCAUAACCCCGGGAAACUGGGGAUAAUUCCGGAUAGUUCAUGGUAGCUGGAAUGCUCCAUGAUCGAAAGCUAUUGCGCCUAAGGAUGGGUCUGCGGUCUAUCAGGUAGUAGUGGGUGUAAUGUACCUACUAGCCGACGACGGAUACAGGUUGUGGGAGCAAGAGCCCGGAGAUGGAUUCUGAGACAUGAAUCCAGGCCCUACGGGGCGCAGCAGGCGCGAAAACUUUACAAUGCGGGAAACCGCGAUAAGGGGACACCGAGUGCCAGCAUCUUAUGUUGGCUGUCCGCAUGUAUAAAUCACAUGUGUUAGCAAGGGCCGGGCAAGACCGGUGCCAGCCGCCGCGGUAACACCGGCGGCCCGAGUGGUGGCCACUAUUAUUGGGUCUAAAGGGUCCGUAGCCGGUUUGGUCAGUCUUCCGGGAAAUCUGACGGUUUAACCGUUAGGCUUUCGGGGGAUACUACCAGGCUUGGGACCGGGAGAGGUAAGAGGUACUACGGGGGUAGGAGUGAAAUCCUGUAAUCCCUGUGGGACCACCAGUGGCGAAGGCGUCUUACCAGAACGGGUCCGACGGUGAGGGACGAAAGCUGGGGGCACGAACCGGAUUAGAUACCCGGGUAGUCCCAGCCGUAAACUAUGCUCGCUAGGUGUCAGGGACGGUGCGACCGUUUCUGGUGCCGCAGGGAAGCCGUGAAGCGAGCCACCUGGGAAGUACGGUCGCAAGGCUGAAACUUAA